UUAGCUCAUAUUUGUAUAGAAUCGGAUCGUUUGCCUACGUUUGCCGCUAGGGACGCUGUUCCAACUGCAUACAAAAUUGGGUUA
rnacentral:pre_miRNA from 1 species